AAUUAAAAGUAAAUUUUCCUUAUGAGGGUAUACAUCGGUAAUUGUGUAUCUAAAUCUUUCAUAGCACAUAUACAGAAAAUAUUCCAUGAAAGGAUAUGAACGUAAAAGGGACGUACUCUUUGGGGCGAAUGACCCUGGUUCGUAACCGGAAGUUCAACUUUCGAUACAAAUAAACAAAAAUCUUGGAAAUCUUGAACAGAGACUAUACCCGGAGUUAAGAAGCAGUAGCCAAAAGAAAUCAUUGCUAAAUGUUAGCUUGCUGGUGGAUUUAAGCAAAUAUUAUCAUCUGUAUAUAUCCGGCUAUACAUUUUGCGUGUACCUACACAUUUGUGUACUAAAAAUUGUCAAGAGUCAUUCAUCACACAGACACAGUGACAUGUACAAAUGUAUACAUUUUAUAGUUACUACUACUCUCUAGACUAGACUCGGUCGAUAUGCACAUGUUGGGUAGAUCAAGUAGAGACCUUGCUCGGCCACAGAACACGGCCAAGGAUUGGAACAGUUGGACCAGAGACUUGGACAACAAGGCCACACCAGUUUUUUACAAAUGGGUUACCAGACUGGACUGGAUUCACGACUCAUCACGCCACUAACUCAACUCCUUUGGUCACAUACAUUUGUACAUUGGAUCAUCAUCGAUGUUAUUUAUGCUAACCCCUAGAGCUUCGCAUUGGUAUGAUUCAGUUGAAAAAUUUUCAGGUAAU